CCCGUGUCCACAUGUUGCCUGAUUGCGCAAGACGUCUGCCAUGGAUCCCACAGUUAGUUUGGGUGCUUGUGCUGCGUUUAUUGUGAUGAAAAGACGACAAGAAGAAAACACAAAGACGACUAUAGAAAUGGUUCAACCUGACUUUCUACAGUGAAUGAUGGUCUUACUGCAACAGCUAUCCAGCACUCAUGAGUUGUUGCUGGAAUGGAUGUCCAAUCUUGAAGCACUAAAGUAAACCAUCCAAGAAAACUUUAAGAUCUUGCCACCAUCAUUUCUGCCUUCCAACCAGAAUAGAGAAGCCUUGCCAAAUUAUAUUACCCGACUGAAGAAACUUUCCGUCACGCACUGAUUAUCAGGCUCACAUGACUUCGUUGCAGCCAGCUAUCUUGGAGGCCUGCAGUUGCAGCCGGUAGCCAUCCCUGACUUCAUUUUCAGCAGCUGGACCCAGCUGCAGCCGUCAACGAUGCCCAGAUGGAAAUGGACAUCCCUCCUCAUCCCACUCAGAAAGAGAUGGAAGCUGAUGUGGCAAAUAGCUUGUCUGAUAUCCCUCACCGAGGUUUUGGGUACAGUUUUCCAUGGUACCGCAGGCAAAUGUAAUGUAUGUGCACCUAUCAGAAAUGAUGUUGACAAGCAUGGAAGCAAAGGCAUCCCAUGCCAAUGGAGGGAUGCUGUAUCUACUGUCAGAUAUGGUACACAAAUAUAUCCACACAGGCUGCAUAACUCCAGGCUAGCCUCCAGUGUGGCAUCUCACAUUUGUAAUGAGUCAAUGAGUUGCCACAUAUGUGGUGCACGUGACAGGAACCUUAUUACCCUUCCACCACUAGCCUGCUCUGUCUGCCGAUAGUUAGGUUAGUUAGGUCUGAUGUCAUAGAUGACACCUGCCAAGUAGCUAGCAGAUGCACAUUCCUGCGCCAACCACAGGUUUAAGAGGCUGCACAGCUUCACUUGCCAGUUGCCGAACAGUUCCGGGAGCAGUUAUCGAGUCACCAGCAGUUACCUACAAGUACUGUCAUGCUGCCGCAAUAAUCGCUGAGUGUCAUUGCAGUAUGUAUUAUCAUAAAUAUAGUCAGAAGUACUAACUGUCACGACAGCAGUCCAGACUGACCAACUAUUAGAUAGUCAGUCAUUGUUUACUAAGCUUGGUUCGAACAAUGAUCAGAGCUUUUACACUGGCACCAUGUCUUUUCAUCAGACUAAGGCUCACUAUUUAUUGUGUACAUUCUUUCAAUAAAUGAUUAAUAACUGUUA